AGCGACCAUCUUUCAUGACCUCACAGUGUUUUGGACUCCAGCCCACUGUACAUCCAGGAUAGUGACAGUUCUCUUCACAGACUGUACAGCAGACAGCUGUUUCAUAAAACACCAACCCCCACAUCCCACCAUCAAUAGGUUCUUUAUCUUUGUAGACCUCAUCAACUUCUACAGUGAACUUCUCAUUGUUCUUCAUCUCUUGUUCAUAUUUCUUCAGAGCUUCCUCAGUCUGUUGGAUUUCUUUCUGUUUUAGUUCAAUAAACUCAACUCUCUCUUUCAGGUUUUGGAUGCAGGCUGUCAGUCUGAUUCGUUCAUUCAGAACGUCCACAGUUGUCUUCAGCUUUUGAGGUUCAGUUUUUCCCAGAAAGUCUGUGAACUGUCUCAGUCCUUCUGUUGUUAUUUUAUUUAUAUUUUUAAGUGCUGUUCUGCCCUCUGUCCUGUCUUCAUGCUGACAGUUAUCAAACAGGAAGUAAACAGGCUGAUUAUUUUCAUUUUUG